UACGUAGGGUGCAAGCGUUAAUCGGAAUUACUGGGCGUAAAGCGUGCGUAGACGGUUAUUUAAGUCGGGUGUGAAAGCCCCGGGCUCAACCUGGGAAUUGCAUUCGAGACUGAAUAGCUAGGGUACGGUAGAGGGAAGCGGAAUUUCCGGUGUAGCGGUGAAAUGCGUAGAUAUCGGAAGGAACAUCAGUGGCGAAAGCGGCUUCCUGGACCGGUACCGACGUUCAGGCACGAAAGCGUGGGGAGCAAACAGG
rnacentral:rRNA from 1 species